UUUUUUUUUAACAUUUUUUUUAUUUUUUUACACCUUUAUUUAUCUAGGCAAGUCAGUUAAGAACACAUUCUUUUUUUCAAUGAUGGCCUAGGAACGGUGGGUUAACUGCCUUGUUCAGGGGCAGAACGACAGAUUUUUACCUUGUCAGCUCUGGGAUACAAUCUUGCAACCUUACGAUUAACUAGUCCAACGCUCUAACCAUCUGCCUCUCAUUGCACUCCACGUGGAGCCUGCCUGUUACGCGAAUGCAGUAAGAAGCCAAGGAGGAGGGUCCAGAGGUGCUGCUGGGGGAGGAGGAGGGUCUGGAGAACCCUGAGGGGACCAUGGUCAUGGAGGACAACCAGACUACACCUGCACCCAAAGAGGCACCAGCUGAGCAGCACAGGACCACACACAGUCUUACUGAGUCAGUAGACAUGGAGGAUGGGAAGCCUGAUCUGCUGCUGGUCAAAGAGGAGACGGACCAGAGAGCAUUGAUCUGCUGAGUGGACUAAAGAUGGGGAUCAAGGUAAGGGAGAAAUACAUAUAGCCUACAUACAGUAAUAGAUCUUCAAUGGGAAUAGUAAUACAUAUAACCUACAUACAGUAAUAGAUCUUCAAUGGGAAUAGUGAUGCGCCUGGCAAUUUUUUUUCCUUCCUCCAUAAAAUGAAAUCAACACAAUGUAUGUUUACAUACAAAACCACACAUUAUAAUGUAUGAACUUGACAACAACAAAAAAAUCAAGGUAAGAGAGAAAUGAACUUGUGUUUACAUACAAAAACACACAUAAUGUAUGAACUUGACCAGAUAAUUGACUCAGGGGAUGACAUCACUGAGCAGGGCUGGACCAGAGGUGACAUAGUGGAGGUCAGUGGAUGGGACAGUAUCCUGAAGUCUGGGCUGGGGAACAACACUGUUAACCACAACCAGAAACACAAAACAACAUAUCCAUAACAACAGACUGGCUGAGACCAGGGCGAGGCGUAGAUUUGCUAGAUGAUGAUGAUGAUGCAGUUCAGUAAAGGAGUAGCUUGACUGGAGUCGGCGUUGAUGGUACAGGGAGACAUCAGUCAGACAGGCCCUGAGCUUUAUCAGGCACAUCUGUCUCUGCAGUACACACCACCUCCUCCUCUGUAGGUAGGCUGGAACAUCCACCACCUGGGUGAUGCAUCGGCAGCAAUAAGUGCCUGAGAGACCACCACACACAUCUGCAACAGUCUCCUACGAGGAGAGCCUCUGUCAUUCCCUCAUACCACAGUCCACAUCUUUCCAUGUAGUACUAGUUAGUUAGUGUGCAGUUAAUUCUGUUGGUUUUGGAUGUAGUAGGGAACUGGAUGAGGUGAACUGAGGAAAGAAUGAGUAUGAUGAGGCAGAGUAGAUGAUGUGUGAUGGUGUCUGUAAAACUGCUUCACUGAUGAAGAGUGACAUAAGUCGACUCUUAAGGUUGAUGCUGGAGUUUUAUAGUGAGAUAAGGAUAGUGCCUUAAUUCGUGUUUAAUUGUCAUGUAGUAGUGAAGGUGUGUGUAAUGUAAUGUAAUGUUGAACCUUUUCCAAAGUAUUCUAAAAUGUAUGUUAUCAAAGCAAGGGUGCUAGAUUUACAGAAAAGGUCAUAUUACCAUAGAGAGAAAAGUUAUUCUACUUGUCACAUGUAUGGUUUUGUGCAAUAAAGUACUUUACUUCA
ensembl:lncRNA